rnacentral:rRNA from 1 species
UACGGAGGGAGCUAGCGUUGUUCGGAAUUACUGGGCGUAAAGCGCGCGUAGGCGGCUUUGUAAGUUAGAGGUGAAAGCCCGGGGCUCAACCCCGGAACUGCCUUUAAGACGUGCAUCGCUUGAAUCCGGGAGAGGUGAGUGGAAUUCCGGAGUGUGAGAGGUCGAAAUUCGUAGAUAUUCGGAAGAACACCAGUGGCGAAGGCGGCUCACUGGACCGGUAUUGACGCUGAGGUGCGAAAGCGUGGGGAGC